UACAUGUGGGGCAAGCGUUGUUCGGAAUUACUGGGCCUAAAGGGUGCGUAGGUGGUUUGUUAAGUCACGGGUGAAAGUUUUCGGCCCAACCGGAAAAUUGCCUGUGAUACUGGCGAACUUGAGUGCGUGAGGGGUAACCGGAACGAGCAGUGUAGCGGUGAAAUGCGUAGAUAUUGCUCGGAAGGCCAGAGGCGAAGGCGGGUUACUGGUACGCAACUGACACUGAGGCACGAAAGCGUGGGGAGCAAACAGG
rnacentral:rRNA from 1 species